rnacentral:rRNA from 1 species
UACGUAGGGUGCGAGCGUUAAUCGGAAUUACUGGGCGUAAAGCGUGCGCAGGCGGUUUUGUAAGUCUGUCGUGAAAUCCCCGGGCUUAACCUGGGAAUUGCGAUGGAGACUGCAAGGCUAGAAUCUGGCAGAGGGGGGUAGAAUUCCACGUGUGAGCAGUGAAAUGCGUAGAGAUAGUGGAGGAACACCGAUGGCGAAGGCAGCCCCCUGGGUCAAGAUUGACGCUCCAUGCACGAAAGC